AAGUCGUAACAAGGUUUCCGUAGGUGAACCUGCGGAAGGAUCAUUAACACGUAUCCAACGUAUCCACCCCUGUGGUCCUGUGCGCGGCUCUAUAUGUCGUGGUAGCAACCUAGUUUGUGACCUGCGUGGUUGCAAAUCUUUAAGUCUUGUGACUGGGGCAUAGUAAUCUGCGUGAUUAUUAUGAAAAGACCCAACUAACCUGUGCGGUUAGGGGUUCUCUUGUCAUUUGAUAAGGUGCUACUAGUUUUCUGCGAGAAAGCAACUUCAUAUAGCAGACGUUUUAACCAAACCAUUUACCAAAUUUGACUAAUUUAGAAAUAAGUACGAUGCGCUCUGCUUUAUUUCGAUAUACGAAACGUAUAACAUCUCUUAACAACGGAUAUCUUGGUUCUC
rnacentral:misc_RNA from 1 species